UACGGGGGGGGCAAGCGUUGUUCGGAAUUACUGGGCGUAAAGGGCUCGUAGGUGGCCAACUAAGUCAGACGUGAAAUCCCUCGGCUUAACCGGGGAACUGCGUCUGAUACUGGAUGGCUUGAGUUUGGGAGAGGGACGCGGAAUUCCGGGUGUAGCGGUGAAAUGCGUAGAUAUCUGGAGGAACACCGGUGGCGAAGGCGGCGUCCUGGACCAACACUGACACUGAGGCGCGAAAGCUAGGGGAGCAAACAGG
rnacentral:rRNA from 1 species